CUGGUUGAUCCUGCCAGUAGUGAUAUGCUUGUUUCAAAGAUUAAGCCAUGCAUGUCUAAGUAUAAGCGAACUUAUACAGUGAAACUGCGGAUGGCUCAUUAAAACAGUUUGAAUUUAUUUGAUGAAUGUAUGAGAAUACUACUUGGAUAACCGUAGUAAUUCUAGAGCUAAUACACGCAACGACGCCCGACCGUUUCACUACGGAAGGGCUGUAUUUAUUGGAUACCAAAACCAUCCUUCCCUCGGGAAGUUUUGUUUGAUGAUUCACAAUAACUGAUCGGAUCGCCACUUUGGUGGCGACAGGUCAUUCAACAUUCUGCCCUAUCAGCUUUCGAUGGUUGUGUAGUGGACAACCAUGGCCAUAACGGGUAACGGAGAAUCAGGGUUCGAUUCCGGAGAAGGAGCUUGAGAAUUGGCUACUACAUCUAAGGAAGUCAGCAGGCGCGCAAAUUACCCAAUCCCGAUUCGGGGAGGUAGUGACAAAAAAUAACAAUACCGGGCCUUUUUGGGCUUGGUAAUUGGAAUGAGGGAGAGUUAAACGGACCAUCGAGUAUCCAUUGGAGGGCAAGUCUGGUGCCAGCAGCUGCGGUAAUACCAGCUCCAAUAGCGUAUAUUAAAGUUGUUGCAGUUAAAAAGCUCGUAGUUGGACUUGUGUGCGCUGUCCGCGGGUGGCCUGCGCCCAAAGGGGCGUUUCGGUUCGGCCCCGGUGGCGCCUUGAAAUCUGCAGCUGGGGGGACGUUGGCCUUAACUGGUCGGCGACCGCACGCCGGCUGCUCGGUUACUGUGAGAAAAUUAGAGUGUUCAAGGCAGGCAUUGGGUGCAAUUGAAUACAUUAGCAUGGAAUAAUAAAAUAUGGCUCCUGCCGUAUUUUGUUGGUUUUGACUGGUGGGAGUAAUGAUUGAUAGGGACGGUUGGGGGUGCUAGUAUUGAGCGGCCAGAGGUGAAAUUCAUGGAUUCGCUCAAGACUAACUUAUGCGAAAGCAUUCACCAAGGACGUCCUCUUUAAUCAAGAACGAAAGUUGGGGGAUCGAAGACGAUCAGAUACCGUCGUAGUCUCAACCAUAAACUAUGUCGACUUGGGAUCGGCGGUAGUUUUUUCAUUAAGACACUGUCGGGACCACGGGAGAAAUCAAAGUGUCUGGACUCUGGGGGAAGUAUGGUCGCAAGGCUGAAACUUGAAGGAAUUGACGGAAGGGCACCACCAGGAGUGGAGCCUGCGGCUUAAUUUGACCCAACACGGGGAAACUUACCAGGUCCAGAGAUGUAGAGGAUUGACAGAUUGAAGCUCUUUCUUGAUCACUUCGGUGGUGGUGCAUGGCCGUUCUUAGUUGGUGGAGUGAUUUGUCUGGUUAAUUCCGUUAACGUACGAGACCUCAGCCUGCUAG
rnacentral:rRNA from 1 species